rnacentral:rRNA from 1 species
UACGAAGGGGGCUAGCGUUACUCGGAAUCACUGGGCGUAAAGCGCACGUAGGCGGCUUUUUAAGUCAGAGGUGAAAUCCUGGAGCUCAACUCCAGAACUGCCUUUGAUACUGGAGAGCUUGAGUCCGGGAGAGGUGAGUGGAACUGCGAGUGUAGAGGUGAAAUUCGUAGAUAUUCGCAAGAACACCAGUGGCGAAGGCGGCUCACUGGCCCGGUACUGACGCUGAGGUGCGAAAGCGUGGGGAGCAAACAGG